UUUAAUGAGGUUUGUAGGUAUUCAGAACCUUAUAAAAAGAAAUGAGCAAUUAUAUAGCUCAGAAAACCCUCCCAGUGGUGUAUCUUUACCUUUUAUUCUGGUACAGACACGUCCUCAUGCAACUGUUGAAGUGGAAAUAUUAGAAGAUAUGCAGCUUGUGCAUUUUGAUUUCAAUAGGUGAAAUUGAUGCUGAUUUAUAUCAAAGUGGCGGUGGUAGUAGUGGUCUUUAUGCUGCAUCUCUUAUUCUUCUGCUCAACAGGGUGUGAAUGAAGGUGAAAAUCAUCCCACCGAAGCAGAUUUGCAACAAGUUCUUGCGGAUUUUGAUGAUUGAUAAACCAUGAUGUUGGGAUUUAAUAUUUAGAUAUGCUUUUAUUACUAUUUAACUUUUGAGUUUGGAUUUUGAUAAGAUCAUAUGUAUUUGGUUGA